GUCAGCUUUUUACAGAAUAGGUUUCAAACUUCGGUUUCAAUGGUUUUAUGAUAUUUCUAAAUCACAUACAAUGAAACAUUGUACAUUAUAAGAGGAAAAAAUGUCUGUGGCAUGUCAGAAAACUAUGCAUAUGCAUCAACAAGUAAAAGGAAACAAUCAAAUGAAUAAACAGGUAGAUCCAUAUAAGGUCUUUGAAUAGUAUUGACCACCUUUAAAUUUUCCCCAUUUAAUAGUGCUACAGCCAUAAAAUAAAAUCUUUUAGGGUUAUUUUUUCACCAUUUGAUUUACACAAAUUACCUAAAACAGGAUCAUUGACAUGAUCAUACUGUAAUGAAUUAAGGGAUUGACCUAACCCUGGCCAUUAAUGAGUUAAGUAACCAUUUUGCACCUUAAAUGCAUUAGACAUUUUGAAUAAAUCAAAUUGUGAGAAACCCAAUAAAUCCAUUUUAAUUGGAAGAUUGAAAGUUACAAAAUAUAUACAUAACC